rnacentral:rRNA from 1 species
AAUAGAUACCCAGGUAGUCCAUGCCUUAAACGAUGAGAGCUAGAUGUUGGGAUUUAUCUCAGUAUUGAAGUUAACACGAUAAGCUCUCCGCCUGGGUAGUAUAGCCGCAAGGCCGAAACUCAAAGAAAUUGACGGGGACCCGCACAAGCGGUGGAAUAUGUGGUUUAAUUCGAUGGUACACGAAAAACCUUACCUGCUCUUGACAUGUAAACAAUCGGUGUAAGAAACUACACCUUCGGUUCGGCCGGGUUUACACAGAUGGUGCAUGGCCGUCGUCAGCUCGUGUCGUGAGAUGUUUGGUUAAGUCCAAAAACGAGCGCAACCCUCAUCCUUAGUUGCUAACAGGUAAUGCUGAGUUCUUUAAGGAAACUGACGGCGAUAAAAGCCGUAGGAAGGUGGGGACGAAGUCAGGUACGCAUGCCUCUUACGGGCAGGGCUACACAUGUGUUACAAUGGCAGUCACAAUGGGAAGCAAAAGGGCAACCUGGAGCAAAUCCAAAAAAACUGUCUUAGUCGGAUUGGUCUCUGCAACUCGGGACCAUG